UACGAAGGGGGCUAGCGUUGCUCGGAAUCACUGGGCGUAAAGCGCACGUAGGCGGAUUGUUAAGUCAGGGGUGAAAUCCUGGAGCUCAACUCCAGAACUGCCUUUGAUACUGGCGAUCUCGAGUCCGGGAGAGGUGAGUGGAAUUCCUAGUGUAGAGGUGAAAUUCGUAGAUAUUAGGAAGAACACCAGUGGCGAAGGCGGCUCACUGGCCCGGUACUGACGCUGAGGCGCGAAAGCGUGGGGAGCAAACAGG
rnacentral:rRNA from 1 species